rfam:Candidatus Melainabacteria bacterium RIFCSPLOWO2_12_FTLL_35_11 rifcsplowo2_12_scaffold_609, whole genome shotgun sequence.
GGGCGAUUAGCUCAGUUGGUUAGAGCACACGCUUGAUAAGCGUGGGGUCCCGUGUUCAAGUCACGGAUCGCCCA